rnacentral:rRNA from 1 species
ACGGAAGGCAGCAGUGGGGAAUAUUGGACAAUGGGGGAAACCCCGAUCCAGCGACGCCGCGUGAGUGAAGAAGUAUUUCGGUAUGUAAAGCUCUAUCAGCAAGGAAGAAAAUGACGGUACUUGACUAAGAAGCCCCGGCUAACUACGUGCCAGCAGCCGCGGUAAUACGUAGGGGGCAAGCGUUAUCCGGAUUUACUGGGUGUAAAGGGAGCGUAGACGGUCAUGCAAGUCUGAAGUGAAAGCCCGGGGCUCAACCGCGGGAUUGCUUUGGAAACUGUAGGACUAGAGUGCAGGAGAGGUAAGUGGAAUUCCUAGUGUAGCGGUGAAAUGCGUAGAUAUUAGGAGGAACACCAGUGGCGAAGGCGGCUUACUGGACUGUAACUGACGUUGAGGCUCGAAAGCGUGGGGAGCAAACAGGAUUAGAUACCCUGGUA